rnacentral:rRNA from 1 species
CAGUAGCCACGGUAAUACAGAGGGUGCGAGCGUUAAUCGGAUUUACUGGGCGUAAAGCGUGCGUAGGCGGCUAAUUGAGUCGGAUGUGAAAUCCCCGAGCUUAACUUGGGAAUUGCAUUCGAUACUGGUUAGCUAGAGUGUGGGAGAGGAUGGUAGAAUUCCAGGUGUAGCGGUGAAAUGCGUAGAGAUCUGGAGGAAUACCGAUGGCGAAGGCAGCCAUCUGGCCUAACACUGACGCUGAGGUACGAAAGCAUGGGGAGCAAACAGGAUUAGAGAACCCUGUAGUCCCUGUCUCUUAUAC